UUCAGGGACUCAUGCCUUGGGGUCAUUUGCUUUGGUUUCCAUUUCAAGGCUUGCAUGCUUUAUAUCCUCUGCAUUUCCUUUUCUUUUUCUGUAUUAGGCUUUAAAGAUCCUGUGCCUUACAGUUCUCAUUGUAAUAAUUCCCUGGUCAUGCUUUCGUGACAUGGAUAUGCCCUACUGUUUUAUUGACCCCCUCAUUCCCUGUUCAGAAUUUCAAGAGCCCUCUUAGGGCUAUUCAUUUUUAAUACUGUAGUUUAUUUCAAACAUGUAUAUUCAGCAUCUAUGAAAGUUAGUUUCUUUAUGUUUUUUUUUUGUUUGUUUGUUUGUUUUGUUUUUUUUAACUUUGGGUGUGAGGAAUGCCUGGAGGGUAAGGGACACCCUUGGAUAUGUCUUUGAGUUUUAUCAAUAAACAGGGAAGACACUUUCUCAAUGUGCUUGCCACUAUCUCUUGAGCUGGGAUCCUAAACAAACUAAAGUCUGCACAUAUGGUAUAAGGGCUAUCUGUCAGAACAGGGUAUAAAUACAAACUUACAGCCUUAAUUUCUAGGCUGAUGUCCGUGAUGACAGUCCCUAAGAAGCAGCAGUGGUUUAAAUUUCAUUUUCAGGAAUCAUGACCCAAAAGGUUAUUGGGGAUACAAACAUCUUACAAGUGAACACAGGUGAGCGGGCACUCACUUGUAAAUUAACCUUUCUUUCAAUAGGAAAGAAAUUUUGUAUUGUAUCUCUCCCAGAUUUUUCUCUUGGUUAUCAACUUUCUCAGAAAAGAUUUCAAAUUGAUGACAUUACCUUCGGGAAAUCUCAACUUGUCAUUAAACUGACAAGCAUUAAGCACUUUUGAGAACACAGCUUAAUCUGGCCAAAGAUAUUGUAGAUUAUGCCAUCUCCUGAAUCUAAUGGUUGGCCUGCCUUUGAAAUGCUUGACAAAUUCCACGUGAUUCUGUGUCUUUGGUGAACUUGAUUGGUUCAUAGGAUAAAUAAGUGUCUUCAGGAACUUAAUCAGUUCAUAGGAUGAAUUCAAUGAAUAUAUAUAUAUUCAUUUGUUUCCAAGUUAUUAACUUUCAUGUGUUUCAGAAAGUGUAGUUUAGUCCAAUAUCAACAUAACAUAGAGUAUUAACAUAUUUUUUCCUCUACAGACAUGAUCAACUUUUUUUGGUUUAAAACAAAUGCUAUCAUCUGAGUAUUUCAGGGAAACAUACGAUUUCAUUUGAGACCUUAUUGACUGUGCUUUAGAAAUAUAUGGGGCAUGGUUUUCAAGAGCAGAGAAACCCAUAAACCCACAUAGUCCUAUUUAUGCAUACCUAGAGAAACACGUGCACAAAUAGAGUAGCAUCAGGAAGUCUUUGCCUGGACAUGUUUCUGAAGGAAAGCUUUUAAUUAAGAAGCAUCAUCUUAAUUGACAAAUAUUUAAGCAAAUCCAUAUCUGUGGAUGUACUUC
rnacentral:lncRNA from 1 species